rnacentral:sRNA from 1 species
GGAAGGAUCAUUACAGAAUUGUCAACGGGUUGUUGCUGGUCCUCGAACGGGGACAUGUGCACGCUCUGUUUACACAUCCACUCACACCUGUGCACCCUCCGUAGUUCUGUGGUCUGGGGGACCCCUGUCCUCCUGCCGUGGUUCUAUGUCUUUACACACACACUGUAAUAAAGUAUUAUGGAAUGCAUGCCGCGUCUAACGCAAUACAAUACAACUUUCAGCAACGGAUCUCUUGGCUCUCGCAUCGAUGAAGAACGCAGCGAAAUGCGAUAAGUAAUGUGAAUUGCAGAAUUCAGUGAAUCAUCGAAUCUUUGAACGCACCUUGCGCCCCUUGGCUAUUCCGAGGGGCAUGCCUGUUUGAGUAUCAUGAACACCUCAACUCUCACGGUUCGCCGUGAUGAGCUUGGACUCUGGGGGUUUUGCUGGCCUGCGGUCGGCUCCCCUCAAAUGAAUCAGCCUCCCAGUGUUUGGUGGCAUCACGGGUGUGAUAAAUAUCUACGCUCGCAGUUGUCCGCCAGGUAACCUUUGGUGACAAAGGUUCGCUGGAGCUCACAGAUGUCUCUCCUCAGCGAGGACAGCUUUUUGAACGUUCGAUCUCAAAUCAGG